UUGGUUGCUGUGUAAACAACAGACUGGAGAGAGGCCAAGAGCACAAGCAGAAAAACCAGCCAGGGUGCUAUUUCAGCAGUCUAGGUGGAGAGUCAUGGUGACUUGGACCCAUCCAACAGAGACGAAGACAACUAAAUGGAUUCAGGAUAUAUUCUAGAGAUAAUACAGAAAAUCACCUCUAUUUCAUAAUGAGACUACUGAGACAAGUUAUGUGGAAAACUAUUCUGCUUAGCAAACCCCACUUUGAUGCUCUCUCUUCUGUAGAUCUAGAGAUAACGAGUCCUAACUCUUUGCCAAGGAUAUGGCAAAGACUCUGAUGGAAAAGGCAGUAAUGUGUACACAAAGGUGAACAUAAAUAAAUGUGUGUAUGAUAAACGCUGGGAAUGGACAUAGAAAAACGGGUAUGCAAUUGGACAGAGACGACGGGAGACAGAAGGAAAGAUACUUGCUCAGCUGUAUCUAAGUAAGUUCAUAGGAGUUUCAUGGUCUGAAAAAUCUGUGACAGUGGAAUUUCUACUAAGAAGCUUAAAAAAGUUUCACCUUCUCCUUGGACACUUCAGAAUAAGGCCUUCUUAGAAUAUAAUGCAUUAUAUCACAAAUAUACUUUUAUAUAAAAUAUUUGGGACCAAAACAAGAGUAAAGAACCAGGAUCCGAAAGGGUGAAUGCCUACUAAAUAUCUUUGAUUAUCUAAAGCUGUUUAAAAGCUAUUAGAUUGGCACCUGGAACCCCAAAAUAUCCACUUUUCACUGGGAAGGAGUGGCUGUGCCUCUUCAAUCAUCCCCUAAAUGCAAAGAAGUUUGACCCCCACGCAAUGGAUAAAAGUCACCCAAAAAAUGAACAAAAGAGGUGUUUGGAAAAACCAGAACACCAUUCAUCCCAGCUAACGACUUGUUCAUUAUGAGUGAUGAUGGAUAAAGACUUCUCAUGCUGAGAUGAAAUCAAGAUUUAUAUGCAUUGUUUCCUCUCCCAACUUGUGGGAAGAUCAUCAUCAUUUAAUUCUAUCUCUGCGGCCAGUGAUGGGCAUCCAGAGAGCUGGUUAUCAAACGGCGCAGUCAGCUGGCAAAAGCCGAAACGUGCAGUUGGCACAUCUGGACGGAGCCGCCACAGCCGAGGGUGAACAAUGACUCCUGGCAAGCAUCCAAAUUGCUUGCAGACGCUAGCAGGUCUCAUCUACAACCGCCCCUACCAGCAUCUCUCUCUCUCUCUCUUUUUUAUGAGAAUCAGAUUUUCAUUGCUCCAUUCAAUUGCUCUCCUCUGCCAUUUUUUACAGCUCUUAUCGUUCCCCUGGAAUAUGGCCUUGAGACAGCUCAUCCGUGUCCUUCACUGUGUUAUCUCUUCUAACUUUUAUUAAAACUUCAGCUUUCAUCUGAAGAUAGCUAAUUAAAUCUGGAACAGAUUAUAUGCCUCCCCUUAAAAAGAGCACAAAACUAUUUUCUUCAACCCCAGCAAUGCUUUUUUUCCUUUCCAAAAGGUAAAAUCAAAGGUGUUUAAGAAGUCUCUUUAUUUACAGAGCUAAGAUAUUCAACACGUCAUAUAUGAGUUGAUUUAUAUUAAAGUUGUCUGUGAUAUGACAAAUCUUUGAGCUAUUUCUCAAGAUGAUUAUUUCUCAAUCCUGGUAUAUAUCCUUUAAAUAUCACAGCUAAUACUAUAAGCAUAUUUUCUAUAUAAAGUUGGGUAAUGAGGAGUUAAGUUAUUAGUGCACAUCAAGUGAUUUGUCUUUUUAUUCGUCUUUUUUUUUUAAAGGUUGCCCUCAUUUGAUAAGGAUGAAGAGAAAUUUUUCUUUUCUUCCCCAUACCACAAAUAUUAGUAACUAAAAGUUCUCCCAUGGGAAAUUAUGUGAAAACAUGAAAUUAAUAGCAGUGAUUCAAGUUUAGGACUGAUUCGGUUUUCAAGACAGCUUUAUAUCAACUGAUCAUCAGCACAAGUAGCUCUGUCUGAGUCUACCACAAAUUAUUAAUGAAGGAACUUCCACAAUUGAUAUGAAUACAUUCUUCUCACAUAUGCCGCUGACCCAGUCCCUUUCUGAGGCCGAGGGGCAGUGUACAAUCACCUUUUCUUGCAUAGAUCAGCUAACCAAACCUUCUAGCAAUGACAUCUGAAAGAAUCUAGCCAGCCAUCACACACACACACCCCCUAUGCCCUUUUAAUAAGGGUUAAGCUUCUACUACUGUGAGAAUAUGAUUUAACUAUCCCACCUGAAACUUUCUGGGAUCCUUUUCUUCGCUUCACUGCCUUCAGUAAGAUUUCCUUCAUGGUAACCUUUGUGUUGUCCACCUGAAUAAGGGAGAAUCCAUGAGCAGCAUUUCUGUAGGAAAAGACAAAUAUUAAAUCAUCACCAACAUUCAUCCAGAGAGAUGUUACUGCAAUCUUCACUGUGUUUAAGCAAGUUUUUUUUGUUGUUGUUUGUUUUGUUUUGUUUUUGAAAUGGAGUCUCGCUCUGUCACCCAGGCUGGAGUGCAGUGGUGCAAUCUCGGCUCACUGCAAGAUCCGCCUCCUGGGUUCACACCAUUCUCCUGCCUCAGCCUCCCAAGUAGCUGGGACUACAGGCGCCCGCCACUACAUCCGGCUAAUUUUUUGUAUUUUUUUUUUUUUUUAGUAGAGACAGGGUUUCACCAUGUUAGCCAGGAUGGUCUCGAUCUAUUGACCUCGUGAUCUGCCCGCCUCGGCCUCCCAAAGUGCUGGGAUUACAGGCAUGAGCCACCGCGCCCGGCCGUGUUUAAGCAAGUUUUAAAAAUACAUAAAUCCAUUGUGGCACAAUGUAAUAUGUAUCACCAUGCUACACCUGCGGACGCUUCCGAGCGGCUGCCAUGUCUGUGCAGUCAGGAAUGAUAAGUGAACCACCCGUGAAUGUUAACGAUAGUGAUCAUUCUGAGACCACAAGGCAAUAGCAUAUAACAGAAGGAAAGGCUUCAAGCUAAUGACACCCUUUAAUAAAGGUCUGGUCACUUGGGGUAUACUGUGGAUUUAUCAUCAAGAAGGUAAACUAAAACUCCCCACUCUUCUGAAAAGCCCAGUAAAGAGCAUGAAUGAACCUAGGGCACGCCUCUUUAAAAAAGCAGCUCAUCGUUCCCUUUCUGCAGAGCCAAGAGAAGCCAAGGUAGUCUCUGGGAGCCUGCCCAAGGCAGCCCAGCUUCUGGGCUAAGACCUUCCACUGUUACCUGACAGCUGUUACCCAAAGAGCUCUUGGUUAGAACUGUUCCUUCCUCAUGUUCCUCUAAUAUAUCAAAUAUUUAAAGGAAAAUACAUAUAUAUAUAGGAGACAGUUUAACUGCUCUGACUUCUAACCUAAGGAGAUUCUGACCAUUUUAUUGGCCUUGACUUUUUUUUUUUUCCUUUAAUGCCCUUCUUCCCCCACUCCAGAGUAGAAUCCUGGCAUGAAACUUUAAUGUCAACACAUAUAAGGUAAUAAUACUACCACAGUUGUUUUUGUCAUUGCCACUUUUGAACUCAAUUCAGUCUCACAAAUUCUGACUAAAUUAGGUCUGUGUUGGGAAUGGGAGAAGGAGACGAACAAGGCAGGUCCCUAUCCUUGAGAGGCACUUAGCCCACUCAAGAUCUCAUUCUCCCUUGUCCUACUUUGUCUAAAGGAACAGUAGGCUUUGGCUUGGUCACUGCUGGCAAGAAACACUUCUUGAGAUGCUGGGCACUAUCUGAGCUCCAGCUCUUUAUCUGGUUUUGGGGGUCAGCCAAAAACCUUCCCAUUCCUCCCACUCCCUACUUCUCCUCUCUGACACUACUGAUAUCCAAACAUCUUUACUGCUUAAGCUCAAAGUAGUCAGCAAGUUAGGGAUUCCCAUUUAUAGAUAUAUUUGCUCUGUCCAAAAUCAAUCAGGAACAAUGGAUAGCUUAGGAAUCCACUUGAAGAUUUGUUAAAAGAGGCAGUUUCCAUUACCAGGCUCCUAAUUUGCAAGUUGUUAGAAUAAUCCAUUCUCCUUCCCUGAACAACAACUCUAUCCAGGGGAUUCCUGGGGCCCAGGGGUUCUAGAGGGAAAGCUAGAUAGAUCUAGUCCUGAUUUAGUAAGAACAUCAGAAGACAUCCAAUUUCACGUUCCCUCCACAGAAUAAUUUUCCAAUGAGAAAUUCAUUAAUUAGUUCCCCUUUAAAAAAUGUAAAUAAUUAUAAAAUAUAAUUCACAACCUUUGCAUGAUGGAAUGAAGACAAAUUUAAAAAUUUCUUUUAUAUGCAGAAACAGAUCUAUUUCCCAAUUUUGCUAUAAUGGACACAUAUUAAUUAUAUAAUAAAAAAUAACUCAAAGGAAGGUUAAACCCCAUUCUCACCUUAGUGUAAAUUAUUCCCACUGAGAAUCCCUGACAGAAAUAACAAUAGCAACUAUGUAACACUUCCUACAUGCCAGAGUCUCAGCUAAUAUUAAUAAUCACAGCAGCAUUUCCUGAGGUUCAAGAGCCCCCAGGAAUCAACAGAUGAAUUUACAGACUAAGUUUCAGAAUUUAAAAACCUGUUUUCUAACGGUGAUGUGAGCCUCUAGUUCCAGCUACUCAGGAGGACUGUCUGAACCCAAGAGUUCCAGUCCAGCCUGGGCAGCAUAGUGAGACACUGUCUCUAAAAAUUUUUUUAAAUUAAAAACAAUUUUGAUUUUAGUCAAUGAAAAGCAUAUAGAGAUGUAUUAUCUAUACAUAUCAAUAUAUGUAUGAUAUGGAUGUGUAGCUAUAUAUAUCUAUAUGUGCUUUUCAUUGAACUAAAAGCAAAAUUAUAUGUGUCACCACAUAUUUUAUAUAUGUCACUGUGUGUGUGUGGGGGGGUGUAUGAGAUAAAGAUACAGAUAUAGGCCCCUCCUCACUCCUCAUCUUCCAUGUUCCCCAUUUUCCACCCACCUGGGGAGCCCUGAGCCACUGCCUAGAGGAGAAAUACCCAAGAGAGUCACCUGGCCUACAUCAGACAAAUGUGAACAAGAAAUAAAAUUAUUAGGCUGGGCGCGGUGGCUCAUGCCUGUAAUCCCAGGGGAGGAUUUGGGAGGUAGAGGCAGGCAGAUCCCCUGAGGUCAGGACUUCGAGACCAGCCUGGCCAACAUGGCGAAAACCCAUCUCUACUAAAAACACAAAAAUUGGCAGGGCAUGGUGGCAGGUGCCUGUAAUCACAGCUACUCGGGAGGCUGAGGCAGGAGCAUCGCUUGAGUCUGGGAGGCGGAGGUUGCAGUGAGCCAAGAUCACGCCAUUACACUCCAGCCUGGGUGACAAGAGUGAAACUCUACCCAAAAAAAUGGGAGGGGAGGGGAGGGCAAGACGGAAAGAAAGAAAGAAACUUAUUGGGAAAAUCCAGAAGUUGACCAACAAACCUACCCCAUGCCCAUUUGUCUAUGUAGUCUACGGCUACUCACACACUACAAUGGCAGUGCUGAGUUACAGAAACUCUAUGGCCAAUAGCCUAAAUAUUUACCAUCUGGCCCUUUGCAGAAAAAGUUUGCUGAGCUAGAAGCGGUGGCUGAAGCCUAUAAUCCCAGCACUUUGGGAAGCUGAGGUCAGCAGAUCACUUGAGUCCAGGAGUUUGAGACCAGCCUGGGCAACACAGCAACACUCUAUCUCUACAAAAAAUACAAAAAGUAUUUGGGCAUGGUGGUGCAUGCCUGUAGUCCCAGCUACUUGGGAGGCUGAGGUGGGACGAUUGCUCGAGCCUGGGAGGCAGAGGUUGCAGUGAGCCAAGAUGAUGUCACUGCACUCCAGCCUGGGUGACAGAGCAAUACCCUAUCUCAAAAAAAAAGUUUGCCAACCCUAGGAUAACGUGGCGAGAUUUGGGGGGUUAUGUGUUCCAGCAGCUAGAGUUAUUUAACAUAACUAACAAACUUAGUAAAAGUCAAAUGGCAUUACUGCAAGCUGCAUACAGAACUUGUUUGCUGAACAGAGAAAAAUGGUGACAGAAUUCAGUGGGCACAAAGAUCUCUAUGAACAGUCUUGCUGGUCUCUGAAAAAUCUGUGCUGUUUGGUGCCAAGUCACACUAUACACAAGUAUCAGUCAGGCAGAGCCCACUUAUGUAUAGACCAAGCAACAGAUAAAGUAGAGUGACCAAUCUGGUUUACCUAGGAUGGAGGAAGGGGUUGGAGGUGAGCAUCAGGGAGUGCUCAUAGAUUCAGGACUUUCAGUUUUGAAACAGGGAGAGUCCUGGACAAACCAUCACAAACUGAUCAUACUAACAGAAAGCGUGGUGGGCCAAACGUAAAGUAGAGUUUUCUAGGUUAGGAGCGGUGGCUCAUGCCUGUAAUCCUAACACUUUGGGAGGCCGAGGCAGGAGGACUGCUUGAGCUCAGGAGUUCAGGACCAGCCUGGGCAACACAGUGAGACCUUGUCUCUACUAAAAAUAGAGUUAGUUGGGCAUGGUGACACAUGCCUGUAGUUCCAGCUACUUGGGAGGCUGAGGCAGGAGGGUCCUUUGAGCCCAGGAGUUUGGGGCUGCAGUGAGCCAUGAUCACAUCACUGCACUCCAGACUAGGCCACACAGCAAGACACUUAUCAAAAAAAAAAAAAAAAAAAAAAAGCAUUUUCUAGUAAAGAACAUUUAAAAUUUAUGUGUUUGUGUGGGGGGACACAUUAUAAAUCAAUUGGCCCACUAAAAUAAUGGACGAGUAGUUAAAAAUACACUGUUUAAAAGGAUGUUAAUCGUGAUGUCUCAUAUGAAAAUCAAAAGACUCAAGUUGACAAGUAAAACAUUUAACACCCAAUUAAACCCAACAUCAGCAAUGUUUAAUUUCAGCAAAACAUCAUCUGUUACAUUAAAGUUGUUAAUUUGUAUUUUAUUAACGUUAUAAUUUUAUCUGUAUUUAGUUUGUAAUUUUGUUUAGGUUGUGUAAAAACACUGAAUUUAUAGCUAAACAUUACAGAACUUUGUAUUUGCAUGUAUCUAAGUAGCAUUAUUAAAAAACUCAUUUGGAUAAACAUUGAGACUUUAGGAGAAUUUAUUUCCCUUUAAAAGAGUUCUGUACAUAACUUACAUUUAAGAAACUCCCUCAUGACAAUUCCAUGAGAUAGUUACUGUUACCCAAAUUUUAAAGAUGAAGAAACUGAGACUUAACAAAGGUAAGUAAAAUUGUCUAAGGUCAUGCAUGUAGCAAGAUACUAUUGAAGCUGAAACAUGAACCCAGGUUUGCCUAAAUUCAAAGUCUGUGCUGCCGCACUUAGAGGGAAAGAUGGUACUGGAGCCCCGGGAAUAGCCGGUGUGAGGGCCUCUAAAGGUCAGAAGGCGACAUGGGCUUCCUGGUAUUUGAAAGGCAGGAACGGGUGUAAAAAAGGGGAAGAGGUCUUAGAAAGCAAGGUGGGACACACUGCUGGGUCAGGUGUCCUCCUGGCAGCCCACAGACACCUGAAGUUUCAGUCAUUCCUUCUCCAUGAAGCCCUGUGCUGGGUGCUCAGGAUACAGAGAGACAAUAAGACUGUGCCUUCCUAGUCUUCAAGAAGUUAAUGGUCUUGCUACUAACUCAGAGGAUGUGUGCUCAUAAGAGGACUCAUUUGAAAGUAUGUAGAUCCUCGAUGUUUACCCACUGCCCAUGUUCACUGAAAGUUAUUCCAAUUCAGCUUUUUCAGUCCAGCUGAGCAAUGUCCACCUAAACACUACCCCUCCUCUGCUAUAAAACAAAGUCGGAGAAGAAAAAUGUAGAAGUGGCAGAGAUCUACUCAGUAACCCAUUCAAGAAAUACGUGUGACAGAUCUAUCACAGUAAUGGAGUGAUGGUGAGUAUUGUGGGCACAGAUAAUUCAGUUCUUGCUCUCCAAGGGUUGUUUAUUAAUAGUAACAAUAACAGCAGCUAACACUAAGAUGAUGCGUACAUAUGCUAAACACUGUUCUAAGUGCUUCAGAUCUAUUAACUCAUUUAAUCCUCAUAACUGAUCUGUGAGGUAGGUAUUAUUAUCUCCAUUUCACUGAGCCACAGAAAAGUUAAAUAUUCAUCCAGGACCACACACACUAGUAAGGGCAAGGCUAGGAUCGGCAUCCAAGCGAUCUGGCUCACAGCCCACCAUGCUGUCACCUACUGCACUAUAGCAGUGGCUGAAUGUCAGCCUUAAGACAGUGAGAUUCACAGGUUAAACCAACACCAGAUUCCCCAGCCUCAAUCUUUCAGCAGAGGGUUGGAAAGGGCAUGGACUUUAAAGUCAGGGAUGGCGUCAAAUCCAGGCCUAAGAACAAUAUUGCUCACCCUCAGGUUCCACGCCUCUAAAUUGUUCAUAAAAACUGGGCUAUUUUGGGAUUAAGUGAGAUAGCAUAUGCAUAGUUGGCCCUUAGUAAGUAUUAGUUCACUCCCUAUGUCAAACCUACUUGCCUCUUUCUGUUUCAGCUUAGUGUCUUCCCAGCCACUUCUUGUCCCUCCUCUACUGGGAGACAAAUGGAAGGAGGAAAGGGGGGAAAUGACGAGGAGGAGUAGUUACGGCUUUAUUUAUUUUGCUGGGAUUUCCUUCUCUGAAACUUUAGACACAUCCCUACAGACUCCUGAAGGUCUGCUCUGUUCUGCAUCUGUAGGAGAAGCUUUACUAACUUAGAAUAUAGACCAGAAAGGCGAGUAAGAGGUUGCUGAACCAAGAAAAUACACACAGGGCAAACGGUCAGUAAUCUGUACUAUUUCAUCAGACGACUGAGAAAAAGAAAAUUUAUUGACACUUUUGUUCUUAAUGCUCACAUAUAAAGAUUUCACUUUACCUCGUGUUUUCAGAAACACUCCAGACACAUCAAAUAAACUCUCUUGAAUUUUAAAAUAGAAAAAGGAUUGACUGGGCUAUGUGUGUGUCUGGGAGUGGGAACACAGGGAUGGGAGUAAUUCAGGAUCAAAAAACAGAGUAUUAAGUUUAAAGCAGUUGUUACUCUCUGCCUUCCCCCUCCUUCCUAUUCUCCAGAAGGCAGGGUUCAUAGUGAAACACUGUGUAGUCUUAGAUGCCCCUCCUGGAAAGGCAUAUGAAUCCUAGCCCCACUCCACUCUACUGAAAACUCAGUGAUUUAAAGCCUCUUGCUUUAAAAAAGGACUUCUGGUUCAAAAGACUGCUAUGAUCAUGUGUUAACAUUCAUGUAGAAAAAGUUCUAGUCAUAUUAAUAAUCAAUAAAAAUGCAAGUAAAAACUAUCGAAAUGCCACUGUGUAUAUCUUUUAGAGUAGAAAAAAAAACUUCUAAUACCUUGUAAUGGUAAAACUAUAAAAAUGAUUUUAGGAAUUCUGUUGGUAACAUUGUAAAUUAGGACAUCUUUCAGAGGGCUAUUGUCAAUAAAAAGUGAGUCUAAAGAUGUUUUUACUCUGACCAAUAAUCCUACUUACAAGGCAUGAUCCUAAGGAAGUUGUUCAACAGAAUAAAAGGUAUAUAGAUAAUGACCAUCAUCAUCAAAUUACUUAUUAAAACCACACAAGGAAGCAAUCUAAAUAUUCUGUGAUCGGCUUCCACUACAACCCAUACACUUUUCUUUUAUACUGCUUAUCACAUUUUAAUUAUUUGACAACUGUCUCACUACUAGAUAGUAAGCUCCAUGAGGGUAGUGCUGUCUCUGCCUAGAUCUCUGGCACAUAAAUACAGACUGUAGGAAUUAAGAACAAAUACUGAAACGUUUAUAAUUUAUUAUUUUUAGAUGGAGUCUCACUUUGUCGCCCAGGCUGGAGUGCAAUGGCGCGAUCUCAGCUAACUGCUACCUCCGCCUCCCGGGUUCCAGCGAUUCUCCUGCCUCAGACUCCCGAGUAGCUGGGAUUACAGGUGCCCACCACUGCAUCCGGUUAAUUUUUGUAUUUUUAGUAGAGACGGGGUUUCACCAUGUUGGCCAAGCUGGUUUCGAACUCUUGACCCUCCUCGGCCUCCCAAAUCCUGGCCUGCCUCGGUCUCCCAAAGUGCUGGGAUUACAGGCGUGAGCCACUGCGCCUGACCUAAUUUAAUGUCAAGUAAAAAUAACACAAAAAUAUGUGUGCUACAAGUGAAACUGAGUAACAUAUACACACGAUUAUUAUACAAGAUUAAAAAUAGUUAAGAUGGAGGCAUCAUUGGCCAACUUUUCAAUUAUUUUAAAUAUCCUUUAAAGUUAUUUUAGUACCUCUGAAAUGAAAAAGCAGGAAAAAAUUUGCUGUUAUUUACACCAAACUUGACCUUGUAGUAGGGAUGAAACGGCCACCAUGAAAGCCUGAGGGCCCACUCCCCAGCUUACCCCCAGGUACUCAGUUAUUCUUUCUUUGCUCAAGGGUAGAAAGAGCCAAAAUACUCAUAUAUCAUAUGUAGCAUAACCCUAUUUUCUGUAACAAUCUCAAACAAAGGCAGUAUGUUGAGAGAGACAGGGAAAUGUCUUCUAAAGCAAUCCCUUUUGAGCAGUGAAUUUGCUGGUUACUAACAGCAGGGGGUGCCAAAGGGAUCGCUAUUGUUCCCAGGAGACAGCCAUGAGAAGGACUGCUGAGGCCUAGGUUGAAAAAAAGCUUAGGUUUGAGAGUAAAAUCCAAAUGCAGCAGGUUUUCCCUUAACAACUGGGACAUGUGGAUAAAACUCAGGAGCUCAUAAACUUGAAUGGAUAAAAACUACAUUUUAAUUUUCACUAACUUCUAAUAUUUUGCAUUUCCUUGAUUUAUAAGUGUAGGCAAACAAUCACAGCAGAAUCACAGUGCCAGUGACUCUGUCAUGAACAGAAGUCAUAGCUAACACUACAGCACAUUACAGCUGUUGCAGAUUUCUCAAAUACCAUUUAUGCUCAUCACCGCUUUGAAACAACAGGCUUCAGGAGUUACUGUUAGGUAUACAGCUGGAUAUUGUUUAAUCUACUAGUAAAGCCACACAUAUUACUAUAUCAUGAAUUUGUUCAAUAAUCUGAUAACUUUAAAUAACAGAAUACUUUUAUAUUCCAG
rnacentral:lncRNA from 10 species